rnacentral:rRNA from 1 species
CAGCAGCCGCGGUAAUACGGAGGGUGCAAGCGUUAAUCGGAAUUACUGGGCGUAAAGCGCACGCAGGCGGUCUGACAAGUCAGAUGUGAAAUCCCCGGGCUUAACCUGGGAACUGCAUUUGAAACUGUCAGGCUGGAGUCUUGUAGAGGGGGGUAGAAUUCCAGGUGUAGCGGUGAAAUGCGUAGAGAUCUGGAGGAAUACCGGUGGCGAAGGCAGCCCCCUGGACAAAGACUGACGCUCAGGUGCGAAAGCGUGGGGAGCAAACAGGAUUAGAGACCCCUGUAGUCCCUGUCUCUUAUAC